rnacentral:rRNA from 1 species
GAUGAACGCUGGCGGCGUGCCUAAUACAUGCAAGUCGAGCGAACAGACGAGGAGCUUGCUCCUCUGACGUUAGCGGCGCACGGGUGAGUAACACGUGGAUCACCUACCUAUCAGACUGGUAUAACUUCGUGAAACCGGAGCUAAUACCGUAUAAUAUAUUGAACCGCAUUGUUCAAUAGUGAAAGACGGUUUUGCUGUCUCGUAUAGAUGGAUCCGCGCCGCAUUAGCUAGUUGGUAAGGUAACGGCUUACCAAGGCAACGAUGCGUUGCCGACCUGAGAGAAUGAUCGGCGACACUGGAGCGGAGACACGGUCCAGACUCCUACGGGAGGCAGCAGUAGGAAAUCUACCGCAAUGGGCGAAAGCAUGACGGAACAACGCCGCGGCAGUGAUGAAAGUCUACCGAUCGUAAUACUGUGUUAUUAGGGAAGAACCAAUGUGGAAGUAACUAUGCCCGGCUUGACGGUAACUAAUCAGAAAGCCACGGCUAACUACGUG